AGAAGGAAGUGCAAAAUGCGUAGGGACAAGGAAUCGCCUCUUCCCUGCUCAAAUGGUUAAGCGUGCAUCAGAAAGGAAUUUCUUGGCCGGGCACGGUGGCUCAUGCCUGUAAUCCCAGCACUUUCGGAGGCUGAGACACAUCACCUUCACUUUGGGAUGUGGAAUUUGCUAAGCAGUUAGCCACAGUAAAUGAACAACCCCUUCAGAAUGGAUUUGAAGAGCUGAUCCAGUGGACAAAAGAGGGGAAACUAUGGGAGUUCCCAAUUAACAAUGAAGCAGGUUUUGAUGAUGAUGGUUCAGAAUUUCAUGAACAUAUAUUUCUGGAGAAACACCUGGAGAGCUUUCCAAAACAAGGACCAAUUCGCCACUUCAUGGAGCUGGUGACUUGUGGCCUUUCCAAAAACCCAUAUCUUAGUGUUAAACAGAAGGUUGAACACAUAGAGUGGUUUAGAAAUUAUUUUAAUGAAAAAAAGGAUAUUCUAAAAGAAAGUAACAUACAGUUCAAUU
rnacentral:lncRNA from 10 species